AUAACAAGCUCAACACAAUCUGAGUUGCAAAGUACAAUAAAAGACCUGCUGCAUGGGGAAUGCAGCAGGAUUGAAAACCAGAAGGAAAGCAACAUAGCCCCAGAAGCUGCACAAAGGAGAAGAGGGAUGCAGGAAUGAUCAACACUGCUUCUCACUCCCAGGGAGAGUGAAGUCCCUCGCUAUUCCUCUGCCCAGUGCCACAGCCCUUGGUGUACUGCCGGCACCCAGACCCUUACUGGGAGUUGUGGUGGGCACUACUGGUCUGGUGGGGUUUCUGGGUCCUUCUUUACUUGCCAAAAACG